rnacentral:rRNA from 1 species
UACGAAGGGGGCUAGCGUUGCUCGGAAUCACUGGGCGUAAAGCGCACGUAGGCGGAUUGCUAAGUCAGGGGUGAAAUCCUGGAGCUCAACUCCAGAACUGCCUUUGAUACUGGCGAUCUCGAGUCCGGGAGAGGUGAGUGGAACUGCGAGUGUAGAGGUGAAAUUCGUAGAUAUUCGCAAGAACACCAGUGGCGAAGGCGGCUCACUGGCCCGGUACUGACGCUGAGGUGCAAAAGCGUGGGGAGCAGACAGG